GAAAUAUUAGUUAAAUAAAUAACAUUAAUUUGUCAAGUUAAAAUUAUUAAAUAUUAAUAUAUUUCU
rnacentral:tRNA from 1 species